CGGUCAUGUGAUCCGGUCAUGUGACCGUUCCACUGCGUAUUACCCAUUAGUGAGCUGCAAAUUCAAACAUGGGAAAGUGGUAAUGGGUUCUAGUGGCGGCUGCGGACUCUUGACUGGACCUGAAACUUAAACCCCGGUGUUGCCAACUUGUAUUGUAGGUUUGGUACAGGUUGUAACCUCUACCUUAGUUUUCGGGCAGUUCAUUGUGUCGCUGGAUGUUUGUAGAGAUUGAAGGGAUGUGUGCCUCUGAAUUUCUGUGGGGCUCCUCUCUCUGCAACCUCUCAGUUGGUUUGGUUCCCUUAUUCAGCUAUUGACCAUCUCCGGCAGGCCCUGGGCGAGAAUGAAAGAACCGGCACAAUCAGGCUAUUCUGGGCAAACUCCAGAGGAAGUUGGAUGAAUAUUUUGAGAAGCUGAAGAAAGCCCCAGACGACUACUAAAAAUCUGAUAACCAAAAUAUGCUACCUGGCUCAUUCUUUGAGAGGUGGACUAGUCUGGCCAAUGGACCGUACAAGAGCAGGGAGCUGAUCAGUGGCUACUUCAGUCAAGGGUCCAUUUCACACCUGCCUAGAUACAUAUGGCUUCAAUUAGAUAUAAAUGGGGUUGACAUAUCACCAGCCUAACCUGUAAUAUAGCAGCUGAAACUGGGACCAGUGUUACACAUUUAACCAGCAAUGUAUUUGCUCAUAAAUGUAUAAUUCCCUGACAUACCACCCCUGUCCUGUCCCUCCCCAAUCUCUGCCUCCAGCUCCGCUUCUUUCCCUUCUUCCUAUAAUCCUCCUGCUCCCAUAUCGACCAUAUUUUCUCCCGAACCACCCCCUCAUUGUCUCUCCCCUUUCUGUACAGCCAGAUUUUUUUUUUUCGAAAAUGGUGACAACCCUAGAUAUUGGUCAGGCAGGACCUUCUGAGGGCCCAUGUAUGAUAAUGUCCCUGGCACAGCACAAGCCCAGUAUAAUGCCUCUUCCGAGCUGACUGGACUGUGCUGGCACCCAGCCUAAAUCAGUGCAAUGGACUGUGAAAACCUGUUGGUGGCGCCUACUCCCACAAGCAGCGUCUCCUAUUUCCCCUACUCAUGUAUGUCAGUGGGCAUGGGUAUUCUACUACUUCAUUAUAAAGCAUGGGGGCAACACCAUGCAGCAGGGAGGCAGCAAGAUCAACAUGUGAUUUGUUAAAGGCCUGGGCCCAACAGAACUGAGAAGCUUGAUACUGUUGUACCCUGCAAUAACAUAAACUUAACCCUUGCUCUGUCUACCCCCCCCCACCCUGUCUCUUAAAGUGGACCUGUCACCCAGACACAAAAAUCUGUAUAAUAAAAAUCUUUUUCAAA